rnacentral:tRNA from 2 species
GGAUAGCUCAGAUGGUAGA